rnacentral:rRNA from 1 species
UACGAACCGUACAAACGUUAUUCGGAAUUACUGGGCGUAAAGCGUAUGCAGGCGGAUCGUUAAGUCGGGGGUGAAAUCCCGAGGCUCAACCUCGGAACUGCCUUCGAUACUGGCGACCUUCGAGUCCGGGAGAGGUGAGUGGAACUCCGAGUGUAGAGGUGAAAUUCGUAGAUAUUCGGAAGAACACCAGUGGCGAAGGCGGCUCACUGGCCCGGUACUGACGCUGAGAUACGAAAGCGUGGGGAGCAAACAGG